GAAGGGAGCUUGCUCCCGGAUGUUAGCGGCGGACGGGUGAGUAACACGUGGGUAACCUGCCUGUAAGACUGGGAUAACUCCGGGAAACCGGAGCUAAUACCGGAUAGUUCCUUGAACCGCAUGGUUCAAGGAUGAAAGACGGUUUCGGCUGUCACUUACAGAUGGACCCGCGGCGCAUUAGCUAGUUGGUGGGGUAAUGGCUCACCAAGGCGACGAUGCGUAGCCGACCUGAGAGGGUGAUCGGCCACACUGGGACUGAGACACGGCCCAGACUCCUACGGGAGGCAGCAGUAGGGAAUCUUCCGCAAUGGACGAAAGUCUGACGGAGCAACGCCGCGUGAGUGAUGAAGGUUUUCGGAUCGUAAAGCUCUGUUGUUAGGGAAGAACAAGUGCGAGAGUAACUGCUCGCACCUUGACGGUACCUAACCAGAAAGCCACGGCUAACUACGUGCCAGCAGCCGCGGUAAUACGUAGGUGGCAAGCGUUGUCCGGAAUUAUUGGGCGUAAAGGGCUCGCAGGCGGUUUCUUAAGUCUGAUGUGAAAGCCCCCGGCUCAACCGGGGAGGGUCAUUGGAAACUGGGAAACUUGAGUGCAGAAGAGGAGAGUGGAAUUCCACGUGUAGCGGUGAAAUGCGUAGAGAUGUGGAGGAACACCAGUGGCGAAGGCGACUCUCUGGUCUGUAACUGACGCUGAGGAGCGAAAGCGUGGGGGAGCGAACAGGAUUAGAUACCCUGGUAGUCCACGCCGUAAACGAUGAGUGCUAAGUGUUAGGGGGUUUCCGCCCCUUAGUGCUGCAGCUAACGCAUUAAGCACUCCGCCUGGGGAGUACGGUCGCAAGACUGAAACUCAAAGGAAUUGACGGGGGGCCCGCACAAGCG
rnacentral:rRNA from 1 species